UACGUAGGCAGCGAGCGUUGUUCGGAAUUAUUGGGCGUAAAGCGCGCGCAGGCGGUCCUUUAAGUCUGAUGUGAAAGCCCACGGCUCAACCGUGGAGGGUCAUUGGAAACUGGGGGACUUGAGUGCAGAAGAGGAAAGCGGAAUUCCACGUGUAGCGGUGAAAUGCGUAGAGAUGUGGAGGAACACCAGUGGCGAAGGCGGCUUUCUGGUCUGUAACUGACGCUGAGGCGCGAAAGCGUGGGGAGCAAACAGG
rnacentral:rRNA from 1 species